CCUACGGGAGACAGCAGUGAGGAAUAUUGGUCAAUGGACGAGAGUCUGAACCAGCCAAGUAGCGUGAAGGAUGACUGCCCUAUGGGUUGUAAACUUCUUUUGUGCGGGAGCAAUAAUGGUCACGUGUGGCCAGACGAGAGUACCGUACGAAUAAGCAUCGGCUAACUCCGUGCCAGCAGCCGCGGUAAUACGGAGGAUCCGAGCGUUAUCCGGAUUUAUUGGGUUUAAAGGGAGCGUAGAUGGGUUGUUAAGUCAGUUGUGAAAGUUUGCGGCUCAACCGUAAAAUUGCAAUUGAUACUGGCAGCCUUGAGUACAGUUGAGGUAGGCGGAAUUCGUGGUGUAGCGGUGAAAUGCUUAGAUAUCACGAAGAACUCCGAUUGCGAAGGCAGCUUACUAAACUGCCACUGACAUUGAUGCUCGAAAGUGUGGGUAUCAAACAGGAUUAGAUACCCUAGUAGUC
rnacentral:rRNA from 1 species